GACGAACGCUGGCGGCGUGCCUAAUACAUGCAAGUAGAACGCUGAAGAGAGGAGCUUGCUCUUCUUGGAUGAGUUGCGAACGGGUGAGUAACGCGUAGGUAACCUGCCUUGUAGCGGGGGAUAACUAUUGGAAACGAUAGCUGAUACCGCAUAACAAUGGAUGACACAUGUCAUUUAUUUGAAAGGGGCAAUUGUUCCACUACAAGAUGGACCUGCGUUGUAUUAGCUAGUAGGUGAGGUAAUGGCUCACCUAGGCGACGAUACAUAGCCGACCUGAGAGGGUGAUCGGCCACACUGGGACUGAGACACGGCCCAGACUCCUACGGGAGGCAGCAGUAGGGAAUCUUCGGCAAUGGGGGCAACCCUGACCGAGCAACGCCGCGUGAGUGAAGAAGGUUUUCGGAUCGUAAAGCUCUGUUGUAAGUCAAGAACGGGUGUGAGAGUGGAAAGUUCACACUGUGACGGUAGCUUACCAGAAAGGGACGGCUAACUACGUG
rnacentral:rRNA from 1 species